AAAUGGUUCUAGUUUUGCUAGAUUAAAAGGGAAUUGAGUGAAAAUCUCAAACGGUCCCGCCACUGUAAUGAGGAUGAAAGCAGAUUGCCACUGAGACAUAGAAUAUGUCUUGGGAAGGUAUGUGAGUAAAGUGAUUCUAAGUCAGGAGACCUGCCUUUGAUAAU
rnacentral:ncRNA from 1 species